rnacentral:rRNA from 1 species
AGAGUUUGAUCCUGGCUCAGGAUGAACGCUAGCGACAGGCUUAACACAUGCAAGUCGAGGGGCAGCAGGGGCGUAGCAAUACGCCUGCUGGCGACCGGCGCACGGGUGAGUAACACGUAUGAAACCUGCCCGUAGCAGGGGGAUAAGCGGAAGAAAUUCCGUCUAAUACCGCGUAAUAACCGUUUGGGGCAUCCCUUAAGGUUUAAAGGAGCGAUCCGGCUACGGAUGGUCAUGCGUCGCAUUAGCUAGUCGGCGGGGUAACGGCCCACCGAGGCGACGAUGCGUAGGGGUUCUGAGAGGAAGGUCCCCCACACUGGUACUGAGACACGGACCAGACUCCUACGGGAGGCAGCAGUGAGGAAUAUUGGUCAAUGGCCGGAAGGCUGAACCAGCCAAGUCGCGUGAGGGAAGACGGCCCUAUGGGUUGUAAACCUCUUUUGUCGGGGAGCAAAGGCCGCCACGCGUGGCGGAUUGAGAGUACCCGAAGAAAAAGCAUCGGCUAACUCCGUGCCAGCAGCCGCGGUAAUACGGAGGAUGCGAGCGUUAUCCGGAUUUAUUGGGUUUAAAGGGUGCGCAGGCGGGAUGUCAAGUCAGCGGUCAAAUCGAGGGGCUCAACCCCUUUCCGCCGUUGAAACUGGCGUCCUAGAGUGGGCGAGAAGUACGCGGAAUGCGUGGUGUAGCGGUGAAAUGCAUAGAUAUCACGCAGAACUCCGAUUGCGAAGGCAGCGUACCGGCGCCCAACUGACGCUCAUGCACGAAAGCGUGGGUAUCGAACAGGAUUAGAUACCCUGGUAGUCACGCAGUAAACGAUGAAUACUAACUGUCCGGCCCGAUCGGGGGCUGGGCGGUACAGCGAAAGCGUUAAGUAUUCCACCUGGGGAGUACGCCGGCAACGGUGAAACUCAAAGGAAUUGACGGGGGCCCGCACAAGCGGAGGAACAUGUGGUUUAAUUCGAUGAUACGCGAGGAACCUUACCCGGGCUCAAACGACGGAUGAAUGUUUUUGAAAGGAGGCAGCCCUUCGGGGCAUCCGUCGAGGUGCUGCAUGGUUGUCGUCAGCUCGUGCCGUGAGGUGUCGGCUUGAGUGCCAUAACGAGCGCAACCCCCAUCGCCAGUUACCAGCAAGUGAAGUUGGGGACUCUGGCGAGACUGCCGGCGCAAGCUGUGAGGAAGGCGGGGAUGACGUCAAAUCAGCACGGCCCUUACGUCCGGGGCGACACACGUGUUACAAUGGCAGGUACAGAGAGAUGCCACCUGGCGACAGGGAGCAGAACUCGAAAGCCUGUCUCAGUUCGGAUCGGAGUCUGCAACCCGACUCCGUGAAGCUGGAUUCGCUAGUAAUCGCGCAUCAGCCAUGGCGCGGUGAAUACGUUCCCGGGCCUUGUACACAACGCCCGUCA